UACGUAGGUGGCAAGCGUUGUCCGGAUUUACUGGGCGUAAAGGGCGUGCAGGCGGUUUGUUAAGUGCAGGGUGAAAGCUCCCGGCUCAACUGGGAGAGGUCCUUGCAUACUGGCAAACUCGAGGGAGGCAGAGGAAAGUGGAAUUCCCGGUGUAGUGGUGAUAUGCGUAGAUAUCGGGAGGAACACCAGUGGCGAAGGCGACUACCUGGCCUGUUUCUUGACGCUGAGGCGCGAAAGCUAGGGGAGCAAACGGG
rnacentral:rRNA from 1 species